ensembl:lncRNA
GAUCACAUCACAGCGUCGAAGAACUUGUGUAGCCCUGUCCCUGUCCCUGUGCGGCCGUGUGGCUUGGACCAAGUCAUCGACACUGUCCAGGGACAUUGGAGUUCGUCCGCCCAUCUCAUCUGCUUAUUUUUGGCAAAGGACGAGUCCAGACACUGGGCGAACCAGAAUCGGUUGGAUCACGCAGUAGACAGGAACCUGCCCUUCCCAACCUAGGCCAUUUUUCACUGGGGAAAGAAAGAUGAGCCUGACCACUGGCAAAUGUCUGAGCUCCAACUGUGAGCCCUUCAGUGCUGGGGACCCCCCGGGAUCUUCUAAUGAAGAAGUCGUCUUUGUCCUCUGGGAACUUAAUGCUUAGAAUGAAAGUAGGACAGGGAAACGGGGAGGAAAGAGACUCACUCUUAGAGUCCUGCCCUCGCUACCCUGCACCUGCACGCCCCUGAGAAUGAGUGCUUCUUAAAUUUUGCACUCUAGGCUCCUCACACCUCCCCCUAGUCUCGGAAGCUAAUGACCAGGAAGCAGGCCAGUGACCACUGGCCCCAAGACGGGGAUCCCAGACAGAUGAGUCUGGACAGAUGGGCUAUGAUGGGACUUGAAUGCCACCACAAACUUUAGGUUUAGACAAAGUCAUGUUUUUUUUUGUUUGUUUUUGUUUUUUUUUUAAGGAAAUUUGCUUGCAGCUAGGCAUGGCCCAGCCUUACCUUGGCUCCCAUCCUACCUGCACUGGGCCCUCCCAGGGCCAUAAAUUGCCAUCACCCCCAAGUGCCUCCUCUUCUGUGUUGGCUGUUCAGCCUUCAGGGUCCCUCUUCAAUAAAGGUGUCUGCAGGGAUGUAUCUGCAAAAUCCAAGGCAGUGGUUUGAACCUUGGCUCAACCCCCUCCCUGGCUGUGUGACCUGGCGGGGUUGGUUACCUGCUCUGAGUUCCCUUAUCUAUUAAAGUGGAUGUUUGGGCCUACUUUCCUGAGCUGUUGUAAAGCAGAGAGGAGACCAUGUACAAAAAGUUUUGUAAUCUGAAGUGCUACAUGAUAUCUAGAAAGAGUCUUAACUCUCAUGGAUCUCCAUCUGGACCGCAUGAAUGAAGGUCUCAGGCCCCAAGCCACACCCCUCCAAAACAGUUCUGCCAUCUGCUUCUUGAGUGAGAAGUGAGUAAUGAUCCUUCCUUUGGGCGUGGCAACCCAGUCCAGUCCUCAGUGCUGAAGCUGCUAGGCCCUCUAUCCACCUGCAUGUCCUACUUGCAGCUGCCCCAACCUCCAACCUCUGCCUGGGACCCAGCCUAGAAUCCAAAACCGGUCCACACAGGCCUAGUAACUCGCAGCGCUCUCAUAUUGUUCAACAGUUAUACCACUGAUGAUUUGAACUUGAAGCAUCCCAGAAAGUCCAGAGAAGUCCUGGGAAGGCCAGAGAAGGCCAGUGACUUGUCCAGGGCCAUAUGUAAAUCCUGUGCCAAGCCGGGCAUCGUCGCACCAGCCUGUAGUCCCAGCUGCUUGGAAGGUUGAGGCAGGAGUUCAAGACUGCAGUGAGCUAUGAUUGUGCCACUGCGUUCCAGCCUGGGUGACAGAGAGAGAGACCCUGUCUUAAAGAAGAAAAAUUUAGGCCAGGCACAGUGGCUCACACCUGUGAUCCCAGCACUUUGGGUGGUCAAGGCAGGCAGAUCACUUGAGGCCAGGAGUUCAAGACCAGCCUGGCCAACAUAGCGAAACCUUGUCUCUACUAAAAAUAGAAAAAAUUAACUGGGUGUGGUGGUACAUGCCUGUAAUCCCAACUACGAGGGAGGCUGAGGCACAAGGAUCGCCGGAAUUCAAGAGGCAGAGAUUGUAGUGAGCCAAGAUCAUGCCACUGCAUUCCAGCCUGGGUGACAGAGCAAGACUCUGUCUCUAAAAAUUAAAAAAAAAAAAAAUUAAUUUAAUUUAAUUUAAUUUAAUUUAAAAUCCUGUGCCCAGCCAGGUAAGGGGGCUCACGCCAGUAAUCCUAGCACUUUGGGAGGCCGAGGCAGGCACAUGGCUUGAGCCCAGGAGUUCAGGACCAGCCUGGGCAACAUGGCAAAAACCCAUCUCUACCCAAAAAGAUACAAAAAUUAGCGGGGGUCCGUGGCAUGAGUCUGUAAUCCCAGCUACUGGGGAGGCUGAGGUGGGAGAAUCGCUUGAGCCCAGGAGGCAGAGGUUACAGUGAGUGGAGAUCAUGCCAGUGCACUCCAGCCUGG